UCCAAACAUGAAGGGUGUCGAUAGAUGAAGAGAGAGAGACAGAGAGAGAGAGAGAGAGAGAGGAGAGGGGGGUGAGAAGAGGGAGAGAGCAAGAGAGGGGGGGAGAGAAGCACAAUUAGCGAGGCUGAAUCUGAUAAGAGUGAGGGGGAUUGAGGUAUUGGAAAUCCGAACUGUGUGGAGAUUAGCCAGGAGGAAGGGUGAGGGAGAUUGGAUGGGGUUGGAGUGUGAGGAUGGGAGGGGAGGAGGGGGGGAGGCUCUGCGCUGCUCUUCAAAGACCACUUUUAUCUUUAUUAGAAUUCAAUAGCGAUGACCGCGCGGGGCUGUGUGUGUGUGUUAAUGUGUGUGUGUGUGUGUGUGUGUGUGUGUAUGUGUGUGUGUGUGUGUCUGUAUAUGUGAGGAGUCUGAUGGUCGGUGUUAUCUGAGCGUACAUGAAAGCCUUUUGCUGGGUGACACAUUUGGCACAUUCCUGGGUGCUAACUAGGGAUGGGAAUUUCAUUUUGUAUCACUUUCAUUUACCCGACUGGUCUAAAAAAAAAAAAAAAAAAAA